GAACUGGCGAGUGUCCAAGUGCUGAAUUUCAUUUCAUAUCUCUGUUACUAGGCACGUCCAGACUGUUCUGUCCGGUAUAUGCAAAGGGUUUUUAAUGAAAAUGUAUUGCGAUUGGAUGGAA